rnacentral:rRNA from 1 species
AUUGAACGCUGGCGGCAUGCUUUACACAUGCAAGUCGAACGGCAGCGCGGGCUUCGGCCUGGCGGCGAGUGGCGAACGGGUGAGUAAUACAUCGGAACGUGCCCAGUAGUGGGGGAUAGCUCGGCAAAAGCCGGAUUAAUACCGCAUACGACCUGAGGGUGAAAGCGGGGGAUCUUCGGACCUCGCGCUAUUGGAGCGGCCGAUGGCAGAUUAGCUAGUUGGUGGGGUAAAGGCCUACCAAGGCGACGAUCUGUAGCUGGUCUGAGAGGACGACCAGCCACACUGGGACUGAGACACGGCCCAGACUCCUACGGGAGGCAGCAGUGGGGAAUUUUGGACAAUGGGCGAAAGCCUGAUCCAGCAAUGCCGCGUGUGUGAUGAAGGCCUUCGGGUUGUAAAGCACUUUUGGCGGGAACGAAAAGGACUGUGCCAAUACCACGGUUCGAUGACGGUACCCGCAGAAUAAGCACCGGCUAACUACGUG